rnacentral:rRNA from 1 species
UACAGAGGUCCCAAGCGUUGUUCGGAUUCACUGGGCGUAAGGGGUGCGUAGGUGGUUAGGUAAGUCCGAUGUGAAAUCUCCAGGCUCAACCUGGAAAUGGCAUUGGAUACUAUCUAGCUUGAGGAGUGGAGGGGGGACUGGAAUUCUCGGUGUAGCAGUGAAAUGCGUAGAUAUCGAGAGGAACACCAGUGGCGAAGGCGAGUCCCUGGACACUUCCUGACACUGAGGCACGAAAGCUAGGGGAGCAAACAGG